UACAGAGGGUGCGAGCGUUAAUCGGAAUUACUGGGCGUAAAGGGCGCGUAGGCGGCCACCGCAAGUCGACUGUGAAAUCUCCGGGCUUAACCCGGAAAGGUCAGCCGAUACUGCGGGGCUAGAGUGCAGAAGGGGCAACUGGAAUUCUCGGUGUAGCGGUGAAAUGCGUAGAUAUCGAGAGGAACACCUGCGGCGAAGGCGGGUUGCUGGGCUGACACUGACGCUGAACUGCGAAAGCUAGGGGAGCGAACAGG
rnacentral:rRNA from 1 species